rnacentral:rRNA from 1 species
UACGUAGGGGGCGAGCGUUAUCCGGAAUUAUUGGGCGUAAAGAGUACGUAGGCGGGAGCUUAAGCACAGGGUUUAAGGCAAUGGCUUAACCACUGUAUGCCUUGUGAACUGAGCUUCUUGAGUGCAGGAGGGGAAAGCGGAAUUCCUAGUGUAGCGGUGAAAUGCGUAGAUAUUAGGAGGAACACCAGUGGCGAAGGCGGCUUUCUGGACUGUAACUGACGCUGAGGUACGAAAGCGUGGGGAGCAAACAGGAUUAGAUACCCUGGUAGUCCCUGA